rnacentral:rRNA from 1 species
GAUGAACGCUAGCGACAGGCUUAACACAUGCAAGUCGAGGGGCAGCAUCAAAGUAGCAAUACUUUGGUGGCGACCGGCGCACGGGUGAGUAACGCGUAUGCAACCUACCUAUCAGAGGGGAAUAACCCGGCGAAAGUCGGACUAAUACCGCAUAAAACAGGGGCACCGCAUGGUGAUAUUUGUCAAAGAGAUUCGCUGAUAGAUGGGCAUGCGUUCCAUUAGGUAGUUGGUGAGGUAACGGCUCACCAAGCCGACGAUGGAUAGGGGAACUGAGAGGUUGGUCCCCCACACUGGUACUGAGACACGGACCAGACUCCUACGGGAGGCAGCAGUGAGGAAUAUUGGUCAAUGGGCGAGAGCCUGAACCAGCCAAGUCGCGUGAAGGAAGAAGGAUCUAUGGUUCGUAAACUUCUUUUGCAGGGGAAUAAAGUGCAGGACGUGUCCUGUUUUGUAUGUACCCUGAGAAUAAGGAUCGGCUAACUCCGUGCCAGCAGCCGCCGUAAAAC